AAAAAAACGUAUGAAGACAAGGUAUUGGGUGUUUUACCUAAUCAACUGCAUAGUUUUUUGAAGGUAAAGGUUUUUGAAUUUUGCAAUUGAUGCAUGCAACACAUUCCAAAAAAGUUGGGACAGGGGCGAUUUAGGACUAAUAGCGAUGUGAGGAGUUGAAAUAAGAAGGUGAUGUGAAACAGGUGAGACGAUCGUCUAAUCAGAGUAUAUAAGGAGCCAACAAACAAAGCCUAGUCCUUCAAGAGCGAGGACGGGCCGAGUCUCGUCAAUCUGUCAACAGAUGCAUCAGCGAAUAAUCCAACACUUUGAGAAGAACGUUCCCCAAAGACAAAUUUUAAUAAGUCUUAUAUAAAAGUCCAACUUUUUUGGAGUGUGUUGCAGUCAUCAGAUUUGAAAAUGAAUGUAUAUUUUCAAAAAUAAAUUAAACAUCAAAUAAUGUGUUUUCAAUAUAGUACAGGGUGAACUGAAUUUUCUUUUCUUUUUUGCAUUUUCCAUACUGUCCCAACAUUUUUGGAAUUGGGGUUGUAGUUAAUUUAAAGGUGAAACUAGAGUCAUGUCAUUUCAAUCAAUGAGAUGAUGAUCAGGUGUGAGUGAGUGAGCGUCCUGUUUUAUUUAAAGAACAGGGAUCUAUCAGAGUCUGAUCUUCACUACACGUGCUUGUGGAAGUGGAUCACGGCACGAACAAAGGAUAUUUCUGAGGACCUCAGAUAAAGAGUUGUUGAAGCUCAUGAGGCUGGAAAAGGUCACAGAACCAUCUCUAAAGAGUUUGGAGGAAAUUCUAGACCAGUGUUCCCCUCUCCAGGAGUGGAGACCAACACAGAUCUCUCCAAGAGCAAGACGUGUAAUAGUCCACGAGGUCACAAAGGAACCCAGGAGAUCCACUGACUAAUACGAGGGGCAAAAGUAUGUCAACCUUUGCUUUUUGAAUCUGUUGUGCAGCAAUAACUGCAACUAAACUAGGAGAUCUCCACCAUCAGGAGAACACUUAGUUUAGUUGCAGUUAUUGCUGCACAAC
ensembl:lncRNA